rnacentral:rRNA from 1 species
CCGAGUGCUUGCACUCAAUUGGAAAGAGGAGUGGCGGACGGGUGAGUAACACGUGGGUAACCUACCCAUCAGAGGGGGAUAACACUUGGAAACAGGUGCUAAUACCGCAUAACAGUUUAUGCCGCAUGGCAUAAGAGUGAAAGGCGCUUUCGGGUGUCGCUGAUGGAUGGACCCGCGGUGCAUUAGCUAGUUGGUGAGGUAACGGCUCACCAAGGCCACGAUGCAUAGCCGACCUGAGAGGGUGAUCGGCCACACUGGGACUGAGACACGGCCCAGACUCCUACGGGAGGCAGCAGUAGGGAAUCUUCGGCAAUGGACGAAAGUCUGACCGAGCAACGCCGCGUGAGUGAAGAAGGUUUUCGGAUCGUAAAACUCUGUUGUUAGAGAAGAACAAGGACGUUAGUAACUGAACGUCCCCUGACGGUAUCUAACCAGAAAGCCACGGCUAACUACGUGCCAGCAGCCGCGGUAAUACGUAGGUGGCAAGCGUUGUCCGGAUUUAUUGGGGCGUA